UUUUUCUAUUUUCUUUUUUUGCAGUUAAAACAUAUAUUUGGUCAACAUCUAAGGCAAUAAAUUGAAUCAUCACGAUGUAGGGAUAUGUAGAAUGAAGAUUUACAUACAUGUUUUUGUAAAUACAAUGCAUUUGACGUUGAUUAAGAAAGCAGCCGUGUUGCUACUUGUGGAAUGUUUUCUUCUCUGGUGGGGUGCAUGGUCUUGAAGGUCUAUCACAGAAAAACUUGUUUUUGCCUGUCCUAAUUCUUAUGUUAUGGAAAGAAUGGAUAAUUUUACUUGUUCAAUGUGUUUCUAGGCCACAAGUAAUCCUUUAAACUAUGAACAACACCUUGUCCGAUACAAACAUGACCGAAACGUUGGUGUGACAUGCACUGCAGCAUCUUGCUCGUAUUCUACAUCUAUUAUUUCAUAUAUUGCAGAUUUUCAUGGAGAUCAAAUUAAUGAAAGGUGGGGAAAUUUGGAGGUCAGUGGAAAAAUCAACAAAUGAUUUAUUCAACGCCGUGAAGGAAAUCAUGCCCCCCACUGACGAAGCUGAUGAACUAAUGGAAGAUAUUGAGGCUUUUCGCUAUAUGGUGAGGGAAACAGGAUAUGACAGGGGCCGAGGAGCGAAAAGCACCUCUAUAUUGGAAAAAAUCAAAGGAGUUGUCUCCUAAACAAAUUGACGAGGAAGCCGAGAAAACAAAGUUGCCAGUAGGGCCAAUGCUUCGGAUCUUUGUAAAGGACAACCGGAUAACUGAGGCAAUCAUACACGCCGACGGGCUAAACCUUCCUGGAACUUCAGGAAGGCAGUGGUCCAGAUGCUGGCCAUAUACUAUGGAGCUUGGCUGGAUUACCGAGACAGUAUGCACGGAUGUUUGGCGUUAUGCAAGAACUCUUUUUCAAGGAAACCUUUGGUUCAAAAACCAAAGAUUGUGUUCACUUCUUGAAGAAAGUUGAAGCAUGCAUGAUUGACUAGACUAGAUUGACAUGUUUCCUAAUGGGAAAAUAAAAUGUUUAAUUCUA